rnacentral:rRNA from 1 species
UACGUAGGGGCCUAGCGUUGUCCGGAUUUAUUGGGCGUAAAGAGCUCGUAGGCGGUUCGGUAAGUCAGGUGUGAAAUCUCCACGCUCAACGUGGAGGCGCCACCUGAAACUGCCGUGACUAGAGUCCGGUAGGGGAGUGUGGAAGUUCCCGGUGUAGCGGUGAAAUGCGCAGAGUAUCGGGAGGAACACCAGUGGCGAAGGCGGUUGCCUGGGGCUUUGCUGACGCUGAGG